ACAUGUGAUACACGUGGUCUCACCUUAGGCAAAUGAGUUUGUUCAAAAUUGCCUCUGUUCACCCAGUAGAAAAUGGGUACCCGGUGGGAUAAGUCAUGUGACUGAUAACCUAGCGCCUCACUGGCAGGUUGGGUUAUCCGGGGAAAUAAUAUGCUGGGUAAGCGUUUG